UCAGACAUCGUGCAACGGUAGCACUACAGCCCCAGCUACUAUGAGCAUAAGACGUAUGAGGUAGCUGAGGGUUCGACUCCCUCUGUCUGAA